rnacentral:rRNA from 1 species
AACGUAGGAGACAAACGUUAUCCGGAAUUACUGGGCGUAAAGGGCGUGUAGGCGGUUGGUUAAGUCUGGCGUGAAAGCUCUCGGCUAAACCGGGAGAGGUCGUUGGAUACUGGCCGACUAGAGGACGGUAGAGGCGUGUGGAAUUCCGGGUGUAGUGGUGAAAUGCGUAGAGAUCCGGAGGAACACCAGUGGCGAAGGCGACUCACUGGACACGUAUUGACGCUGAGGUGCGAAAGCGUGGGGAGCAAACAGGG